rnacentral:rRNA from 1 species
AUACAGAGGGUGCGAGCGUUAAUCGGAAUUACUGGGCGUAAAGCGCGCGUAGGCGGCUUAUUAAGUCAGAUGUGAAAUCCCCGGGCUCAACCUGGGAACUGCAUCUGAUACUGGUAAGCUAGAGCUUUGGAGAGGGAAGUAGAAUUUCAGGUGUAGCGGUGAAAUGCAUAGAGAUCUGAAGGAAUACCAGUGGCGAAGGCGACUUCCUGGCCAAAAACUGACGCUGAGGUGCGAAAGCGUGGGUAGCAAACGGGAUUAGAAACCCGAGUAGUCC